GGCUUUGGGUGAGCUACCAGGUAAUCUGUCUGUGCCUCGGUUGUGUGAGCUGCAGGAUGAGGUGAGAACAGCAGUCCCCUUCUCAUAGGGUUAGUGUGGGAAUUUGGUGAGCUCAGGAGUACAAAGUGCAUAGAACCUGAUGUCCAACAAGUGCUUAGUUGCUGUGGACCAUUCCUACAAUAAAUCUUCACCACAACCUCACAAGGUGGGAGCUCUAUCCCCAUUGGUAAAUGAGGAACCAAGACUCAGUCUUUCUAGAUAACCAGUGCGCGGAGAGCCAGCGGAAGCAGAGACGGACGGAGCCCAGGGAACCAGAGGCAAGCACCACCCAGCUUUGUCUGGCCCAUGCAGGCAGGCUCCUGGCUAGGCACAGCUAAUCCCCAGGCAUCCCACUGGCUUCACCUGGCUCAUUAAAACCAGACACGUUACGAGUUUA